GUCAGGAUGGCCGAGUGUCUAAGGGCCAGCUCAAGGCUGAUUACCUUCUCUCUACUCAGAGAUUUUCAUUGGGUGUUCUGGUCUCUGUAUAAAGGCGUGGGUUCGAACCCCACUCCUGACA
rnacentral:tRNA from 1 species